CAAUGUCUCGAUUCCGUUGUAAACAAGUUAAAGUGUCCCCAGUGCAUUUAGUGGAACAAAUACAUAUAGCAUAUAGACAUUAAUUAAAAUACCAAACAUGAAUAUAAAUUUGAAUGCUAGGAAGUCAACGGAAAAGUCGUAAGAAGAGUGUGACAACAAAUUAUCAAUUUGAACCAUGCAUUGAUCGAACAACGACCAGAAUGGGCCAGAAGACACGGCAAAGUAAUUUUGUUACACGAAAAAGCAACUGCACACAAAUCAAAAUCGGCUUAGCAUAAAAUCAAAGUACUUGGCUGGGAGCUGCUACCUCACCCGCCGUAUUCACCAGACUUGGCACCUUUCGAUUACCAUUUGUUUUCAUCGAUAGAACACGCUUUGGAUGAGCAGCACUUCGAUUCGUAAGCAAAAGUCGAAAAUUAGGUGUCUGAUUGAUUUGCUUCAAAAGACGAGCAUUACUAUUGGCAAUACUUUGAAUACAUUUUUUUUAAUUUCCCAUUUAAAAUUAGUAUUUAAUUUUUACAAAAAGACUUAUUGCAUACCGGUCUACCUGGUAAAUCUAUAUCUAUCGCUAUUAGUUUUAGGAGUUCCCUAUUUCUACUUAUAAUGUCACAAUAAAUAUACAUAAGGAUGUCAAUAAAGGAAAUUAUAGAAGAGCACUUAUGCUCAAUACGACCA